GAAUGUGACGGUGGCGAAGGAUGGGACGGGGAAUUUCACGACGAUUAGGGAGGCUGUGCCGGGGAUACCGAAGAAGAGUCAGUGGAGGUAUGUUAUUUACAUUAAGGAAGGAGUGUAUAAGGAGAAUGUGAUUCUGGAGAAGCAACUGUGGAACGUGGUGGUCUACGGCGACGGCAAGGACAAGACCGUCAUCUCCGGCAGUCUGAAUUUCAUCGACGGUGUUAUUUACAUUAAGGAAGGAGUGUAUAAGGAGAAUGUGAUUCUGGAGAAGCACUUGUGGAAUGUGGUGGUCUACGGCGACGGCAAGGACAAGACGGUGAUCUCCGGCAGUCUGAAUUUCAUCGACGGGACGCCUACUUUCUCUACUCCUACUUUCGGUGAGUCACCCGCACUUAACACUACUUGCACUUUAUUUCCUUCACUAACUAAUAACUCAAGUUUUUGGAUGGUAAAGAAUCACUCUUUCGUUCGAAAAGUCAGUCGAAAAUCCAACGUGGCCGACGACUUAAUAGAAUACCAAUUUCCUAACGCCAACUCCGUUGAUUAACCGACCUGACUCCAUCCGAACAACCUGAAAAUACAUCAGAACCACCUAACCCGAGAAGAACCCGAAAUCGAAAAUAAUCAAUUUCCCUCCUUUCUCAUCGGGUGUUUUUCAGGUUAGGUGAUUUAUUCUGGUUUAGUUUUGGAUUUUUUCGGUUGGGUUGAUAAUAUUUCAGUCACUGUACUUUAUUUCUUAACUAACUCUACUGACUCAAUUUUUGGAUGAUAAUGAAUGAAUCCAUGUUUUUAGCAAGUUCCGUUGAAAGAAAAGGUCGUUCAAAAUCCAACGUGGCCGACAGACUUAAUAAAUUACAAAUUUCUUAAUGUCAGCUCAGUAUGUUCUAUACUAUGAUUAACAGGCCAGACCAUUAACCCAACCGAACAAACUCAAAGAUAAACCAGAAUCACCUAACAAAAGAACCCCGAAAACAAAAACAACUUUGAGUUUAAGUGAUUCUGGUUUAGUUUUGGGUUUGUUUGGUUGGAAUAAUGGUCGGGUCAAUUAAUCCGUGUAUGGACAAGCUGAGUUGGCAUUAAUAAAUUGAUAUUUUAUUAAUUUCGUCAGCAACGGUAGAUGUUGCACGGACUUUCAGACAAAAAUUGGGUGGGAAUGUAGAUUUACCAUCCGAUAAUUUGAAUCAUGAAUUCGUUAAAUUAUUAAAAAAAGUGACCGAAAUGUUACUUAUCUCGAAUUUUAAAUGACCGCCAACGUUUUUAAUCUAAAAACAGGGCAUGUUACCAUGUUCUAAGCCGUGACAGACGGAUCAUAUGAUUUCACACUCACGGACUCCAUUUGCAAGAGCAAAAUGGCACAUGGUAUGAGCUUAGAAAACACAUAUGGCCCCCCCAUGUGAUUAGCAGCAUCAACCAGUACUUACAUCCGAUUAGUUGGUCUUAUGUGUCAAGAAUCGUUACAUCUCACUAUUUCGAGUUCUUGAUAAAAGGUUCCGAUAGAUCAUUAACACACCCCCUCAACAUAAAACAAACUUUUUU
rnacentral:lncRNA from 1 species